CAAUAGCGUAUAUUAAAGUUGUUGCAGUUAAAAAGCUCGUAGUUGGAUUUGUGGCGUACGGUGUGUUCCGGGCACUUGUUGUCUGAGUAACCUGCUGUUGCCAUCCUUGGGUGGAACCUGUGUGGCAUUAGGUUGUCUUGCAGGGGAUGCCCAUCAUUUACUGUGAAAAAAUUAGAGUGUUCAAAGCAGGCUUAUGCCGUUGAAUAUAUUAGCAUGGAAUAAUGAGAUAGGACUUUUUUGCUAUUUUGUUGGUUUGCGCAAAGAGGUAAUGAUUAAUAGGGACAGUUGGGGGUAUUCGUAUUCCAUUGUCAGAGGUGAAAUUCUUGGAUUUUUGGAAGACGAACUACUGCGAAAGCAUUUACCAAGGAUGUUUUCAUUAA
rnacentral:rRNA from 1 species